CGGACGGGUGAGUAAUGUCUGGGAAACUGCCUGAUGGAGGGGGAUAACUACUGGAAACGGUAGCUAAUACCGCAUAACGUCGCAAGGCCAAAGAGGGGGACCUUCGGGCCUCUUGCCAUCGGAUGUGCCCAGAUGGGAUUAGCUAGUAGGUGGGGUAAAGGCUCACCUAGGCGACGAUCCCUAGCUGGUCUGAGAGGAUGACCAGCCACACUGGAACUGAGACACGGUCCAG
rnacentral:rRNA from 1 species